rnacentral:lncRNA from 1 species
AUGGAUGCUGACGUGAGGACCAGCAGGGUGACAAGAGAGGCUGCCUGGUGGGUGACCGCGCGUGGCAGAGCCACAACCCGCUCGCCUUUCAGUUCUCCACCCAGGGGCCCCUCCUGCGAGCCACCCAUAGGGGUCCCUGGUCCCUCCCUCAGACGUCGUCUCCACCACGGCCCGAGAUCAUCUUUCUUCUCCAGUGGGUUCCUUGUCUCUUGCGUACCACCCUCUCCACCCCCACCCCACCCCACCCCCACCGGCUUGCCCUUGGACAGACGGCGAGAAGCUGACCGAGAGACCGAGACAGAGACAGGAGAUGAGCCGAGGCCGGUGGGCAAAUGGUGCAGAGAGGGCUUGUCCGACGCAGGGUUGCCCAGAACUUCACACACACGCACGCACACACGGACACACACGCACAGACACACGCACACCAGCCCCGGCCCAGCGGCCCAGCGACCCCUCUCUGUGAACGGCCUUGAGGCCACGUGCCGGGCCACGCGGAUCCCCCAGUGCCCAAGGGCACUGGCGGCCCACAGGGAUCCAAGGGCAAGGCGGGUGGGAGGCUGGCAGGGUCCACGUGCCACGAGAAGCAUGGCUUGCAGGCACGACCUCUGCCCAGAGCCUGUUUCCGCCUGGGCCGACUCCUCCGGCGCCUCCCAGGCCCACCCUCGCAGCCCUUGGGCCUCCCGGCGGCUCUCUGCGGGCGGGACCUCAGCUGUGGGCUCCGAACCCCUGGCCCUCCCCGGACCCGCGUCCCUCCCUUCCUGUGUCCGGGAAACCCCAGCGAAGCCUUCGGUGCCCGCCAGGCAGGCGGUGGGCCUGCCUUCCUCCGCUCCGUCCUUCCUGACGCGGAGGCGGCUGGUGCUGGGCCUUGCUUGGGCCCUCAGCCUGAGAAGGUCUGUCUUGCCCCAGGAGACCACCCGGCUCGUGUCCGGCCGCCGCCGCCGCCAGGUCCAAGGCGGCCUUGGGGGGCAGGGACAGAGCCGGCCGGGUCUUGCCUCUCCUGCGUUCGCGUGCUUGGGGCUCAGGCCUGUCACCCUCUGGCCGCCGAAGCUCUCCGUCACUGCCCCGUGGACACUGGUCGUCUGA